UACGGAGGGUGCAAGCGUUGUUCGGAAUCACUGGGCGUAAAGCGCGUGUAGGCGGCCCCUUAAGUCUGGUGUGAAAGCCCGGGGCUUACCCCCGGAAGGGCACUGGAGACUGGGAGGCUUGAGUACCGGAGAGGAGGGUGGAAUUCCUGGUGUAGCGGUGAAAUGCGUAGAUAUCAGGAGGAACACCGGUGGCGAAGGCGGCCCUCUGGACGGCUACUGACGCUGAGACGCGAAAGCGUGGGGAGCAAACAGG
rnacentral:rRNA from 1 species